rnacentral:snoRNA from 1 species
AAGACUAUACUUUCAGGGAUCAUUUCUAUAGUUCAUUACUAAAGAAUUCUCUCUGAAUGUGUAGAGCACUGGAGGCCCUGGUGCCUGAGCUCACUACCAGAAGUCCUACUGAAAAGCCCAUCAUGUGCGUUGGGGU